CCCUUAGAUGUUCUGGGCCGCACGCGCGCUACACUGAUGCAUUCAACGAGUUUCUUCCUGGUCCGAGAGGAAUGGGUAACCUUUUGAAAGUGCAUCGUGAUAGGGAUAGACUAUUGCAAUUAUUGGUCUUCAACGAGGAAUUCCUAGUAGACGUAGUUCAUCAGACUGCAUCGAUUACGUCCCUGCCCUUUGUACACACCGCCCGUCGCUCCUACCGAUUGAAUGGUUUAGUGUGAUCUUCGGAUUGGCGCCACUGCGGCUCAGCAAUGGGCUCGGUGGAUGCCGAAAAGUUGAUCAAACUUGAUCAUUUAGAGGAAGUAAAAGUCGUAACA
rnacentral:rRNA from 1 species